rnacentral:rRNA from 1 species
CACAAGCGGUGGAGUAUGUGGUUUAAUUCGAUGCAACGCGAAGAACCUUACCUAGGUUUGACAUCCGGAAAACCUUCCCGAAAAGGAAGGGUGCCCUUCGGGGAAUUCCGAGACAGGUGCUGCAUGGCUGUCGUCAGCUCGUGCCGUGAGGUGUGGGUUAAGUCCCGCAACGAGCGCAACCCUAUUGCCAGUUGCUACCAGGUAAUGCUGGGCACUCUGGUGAGACUGCCCCGGUUAACGGGGAGGAAGGUGGGGACGACGUCAAGUCAUCAUGGCCCUUACGCCUAGGGCUACACACGUACUACAAUGGCGCAUACAAAGGGCAGCGAUACCGCGAGGUGGAGCCAAUCCCAAAAAGUGCGUCCCAGUCCGGAUUGCAGUCUGCAACUCGACUGCAUGAAGUUGGAAUCGCUAGUAAUUCGAGAUCAGCAUGCUCGGGUGAAUGCGUUCCCGGGCCUU